rnacentral:rRNA from 1 species
UACGAAGGGGGCUAGCGUUGCUCGGAAUCACUGGGCGUAAAGCGCACGUAGGCGGCUUUUUAAGUCAGAGGUGAAAUCCUGGAGCUCAACUCCAGAACUGCCUUUGAUACUGGAGAGCUUGAGUCCGGGAGAGGUGAGUGGAACUGCGAGUGUAGAGGUGAAAUUCGUAGAUAUUCGCAAGAACACCAGUGGCGAAGGCGGCUCACUGGCCCGGCACUGACGCUGAGGUGCGAAAGCGUGGGGAGCGAACAGG